rnacentral:lncRNA from 1 species
GGACCCCUCCCUCCCGCCGCCUUUGUCCCCUACUCCUGCGGAAGGGAAAGUCGAGGAGGGCAGAGCCAGCCCCGGGGCUUGGCAAGGCCGGAACUGGUGCCCUCGGGUAAGCGACUUCUGGUCUUCAUCCCUCGGGCGGUGGCACACGCGGCCCUCGGGGACUGUGGAAAGUUCCGUGUGGCCUGGGACGCAGUCCAGGGGGCGGGCGCUGGG